rnacentral:rRNA from 1 species
UACAGAGGUCUCAAGCGUUGUUCGGAUUCAUUGGGCGUAAAGGGUGCGUAGGCGGCGCGGUAAGUCGGGUGUGAAAUCUCGGGGCUUAACUCCGAAACUGCAUUCGAUACUGCCGUGCUUGAGGACUGGAGAGGAGACUGGAAUUUACGGUGUAGCGGUGAAAUGCGUAGAUAUCGUAAGGAAGACCAGUGGCGAAGGCGGGUCUCUGGAC